rnacentral:tRNA from 1 species
UAAUGGGUUGGCAGAAUAGUGCC